rnacentral:rRNA from 1 species
GACGUAGGGCGCAAGCGUUGUCCGGAUUUAUUGGGCGUAAAGAGCUCGUAGGCGGCCUGUCGCGUCGACCGUGAAAACCCGCAGCUCAACUGCGGGCUUGCGGUCGAUACGGGCAGGCUGGAGUUCGGUAGGGGAGACUGGAAUUCCUGGUGUAGCGGUGAAAUGCGCAGAUAUCAGGAGGAACGCCGGUGGCGAAGGCGGGUCUCUGGGCCGAUACUGACGCUGAGGAGCGAAAGCGUGGGGAGCGAACAGG